rnacentral:rRNA from 1 species
CGAACGCAGUAGCAAUACUGCGUGGCGCACGGGUGAGUAACGCGUGGGAAUAUGCCCUUUAGUUCGGAAUAACCAAGGGAAACUUUGGCUAAUACCGGAUACGCCCUUCGGGGAAAGAUUUAUCGCUAAAGGAUUAGCCCGCGUGAGAUUAGGUAGUUGGUGGGGUAAUGGCCUACCAAGCCUACGAUCUCUAGCUGGUCUGAGAGGAUGACCAGCCACACUGGAACUGAGACACGGUCCAG